CAAUAGCGUAUAUUAAAGCUGUUGCGGUUAAAAAGCUCGUAGUUGGAUUUCUGUCAAGGACAACUGGUCCGCCCUCCGGGUGAGCACAUAGUUUGGUCUUGGCACCUUGCUGGAAACUGUUGCUGCGCUUGGUUGUGUGGUGCAGCUUUCAGCACUUUCACUUUGAGGAAAUUGGAGUGUUUCAAGCAGGCACAUGCCUUUGGACACAGUAGCAUGGAAUAAUUAGAUUGGGCUUUUGCUCCAACUUGUUGGUUCCUGGAGCUGAGGUGAGAAUCAAUGGGGAUUGUUGGGGGCAUCCGAAUUUAGCCGUCAGAGGUGAAAUUCUUGGAUCUGCUAAAGACGGACAACUGCGAAAGCGUUUGCCCAGGAUGUUUUCAUUGA
rnacentral:rRNA from 1 species